rnacentral:rRNA from 1 species
UACGAAGGGGGCUAGCGUUGCUCGGAAUCACUGGGCGUAAAGCGCACGUAGGCGGACUCUUAAGUCGGGGGUGAAAUCCUGGAGCUCAACUCCAGAACUGCCUUCGAUACUGAGAGUCUCGAGUCCGGGAGAGGUGAGUGGAACUGCGAGUGUAGAGGUGAAAUUCGUAGAUAUUCGCAAGAACACCAGUGGCGAAGGCGGCUCACUGGCCCGGUACUGACGCUGAGGUGCGAAAGCCAGGGGAGCAAACGGGG